rnacentral:rRNA from 1 species
CCGAUGGAGGGGGAUAACUACUGGAAACGGUAGCUAAUACCGCAUAACGUCGCAAGACCAAAGAGGGGGACCUUAGGGCCUCUUGCCAUCGGAUGUGCCCAGAUGGGAUUAGCUAGUAGGUGGGGUAAUGGCUCACCUAGGCGACGAUCCCUAGCUGGUCUGAGAGGAUGACCAGCCACACUGGAACUGAGACACGGCCCAG